CUCCAUUGCAGCUGGCUUUAGGUAGUCAUUUGGUCAGAGAAGGGGAAAGUAAUUAAGUCUAAGUAUUUAUUCCCAGCUGCUACCAAGAUCCUGUCUUUGUCAUUUAAACUAAGAGGAAGCAGCCACAAAUUAAAUCUGCCUUUCCAGAGGAAGAAGACUAGACUUUCAUGACAACUGCUUGCAGUCUUCAUAAGAAAACUUAAAAAAUAAUGUACCAUCUGGGUGUUCAUCUAUAAUACAAGAACUAUUGCAUGAAGUGUUCCAACUCAAUCCCACUGGAAGACGAAAAAAAGAUGCCUCCCCGAGAGAGAACAGAAAAUGUGGCUUCACAAACUUUAAAACCACAUUGUUUAUUCAAAUAGGUAAAUGCAGGCACAAAUAUCAAUCCUAGUGGCACAGACUUAUUAGCUUUACACUAUGGAUGCCAACUGUGAAGCAGGCAGCACGGUGCCUGUGGAAUAGCAGGCCACAUAACGUUCUCAGUCUCACCUGAGAAAGUGGCCUGGGAAAUCAUAAGGAGGAAUUAAAACAAUCCUCAGAGAUAGAGAACAGCCUUGCAGGUGCUGUUUGUCUGUUUCUUGUUUUCUUGCAAGAGAAAGUUGAGGGGUGGUGAACCCCACUGACCAAUGAUGGUGAUGUGUUAGUUCACUAACCAAUAAGAGUUUUCUUUUCUGUACUUUCACAUAUCUGUCUAUAAAAAAUAUCUGAGGU
rnacentral:lncRNA from 1 species